GCAUGCUGCAGCUGGCUCCUGCAAGAGACCCGGGCCAAGGGCAUGGUGGGGAAGCAGCAAGGACUAAAUGAAGCUCAUCAUGCUCACUGCCUGCCACUGAGGGCUUCCAGUUGUGGCAUGUGGGACGCUGCCUCAGCGUGGUUCAACGAGCAGUGUCAUGUCCGCGCCCAGGAUUCGAAUCAACGAAACACUGGGCCGCCUGCAGCGAAGCGAGCAAACUUAACCACUCUGCCACGGGGCCAGCCCCCCUUCCGGGGCCCUUUUGCUGCUGGAUGAGCCUGGUUCUCAGAUUGACAGCAAAUAGCAAAGCAAACAAGCUUCUCGAGACUGACGAUGUGGUGGUGCUAUCCUGGAUUAGGAGGAGUCCUUCUUCCUGAUUGCCUACUACUGUUAAGAGCACUAAAGUAAGCUUUCCUGGCUGAUGAAGUCCAGCACUCAAUGAGAAUGGCAGCUAAUCCUGAGUCAAUCUGCUGGAACUUAAAAGGUUAAUCACUUUAUGUGGCCUCUUACUGGACAACAUUAACAGUGGAUUUUAUAUGCUUAGGGGUCAUGAUGAAGAAAACAACAUGAGACUAAAUCAAGCACAGGAGAAAAUGAUGCAAUCAAGACACACGGUAAACAUGAGAUGUAUGAGGCUGCUGCUGGUAUAACACAGCAUACUAUUUUACAGUAAACUUUUUUUAUAUGUAGAAAGAAUGCACUAAAAUAAUGAUAAAAAAGUAUAGUACAGUAAACACAUAAACCAGUAAAGUAGCCAUUUAUUAUCGUCAUCAAGUAUAAUGUACUGUACAUAAUUGAAUGUGCUAUACUUUUACACAACUAGCAGUGCUGUAGGUUUGUUUACACCAGCAUCACCACAAACACAGCAGUAAUGCUUUGCGCUAUGAUGUUAGGAUGGCUAUGACGUCACUAGGUGAUAGGAAAAUUUCAGCUCUAUUAUAAUCUUAUGGAACCACACUUGUAUAUGUGGUCCGUCAUUGACCAAAACAUCAUUUUACAGUGCAUGAUUGUACUAGUUUUUAGAUUCUUUGCAACUAAUAUUUGUUUUAUUGUUUAACCAUCUGUAUUAGUUUCCUAGACCUGCUCUAACAAAAUAGCACAAAUUUGGUGGCAGCAAAAAUUUAUUCUUUCACCGUUUUGGAGGUCAGAAGUCCCAAAUUAAAGUGUUGGCAGGAUUGAUUCCUUCUGGAGGCUCGGAAGUAGAAUGUAUUCCCCACCUUCCGGCAGCUUCUGGCAAUCCUUGAUAUCUCUUGGCUUGUAGACUCAUCACGCCCAGCUCUGCUCCAUGUUCAAGUCAGCUUUCUCUCUGUGUGUUUGUGUCUCAACUCUCCCUCUCCUUUUCCUUAUAAGGACACCGGUCACUGGAUUUAGGGCCCGCUCUAAAUCCAGGAUGUCAUUUUGAGACCUUUAACUUCAUCAAAUCUGCGAAGACUCUAUUUCCAAAUAAGGUCACAUUCACAGAUACCAGGGUUAGGAGCCGGACAUAUCUUUUGGGGAGAUACAAUUCAACUCACUACAUCAUCUAUGGCUUUUAAAAAUUUCUGCAUUAUAUGAGAAAGCACAUGUUAGAUUUUAUAUAUGUUAAGGAUAUGAUUACAGAAGCAAAGUGAGAAGUUGAUACAAUUGUCUAGAAAAUUCCAGAAAAAUGCUCAAUUUUGAUUCAUGUGGCUGAAUAUUUUAGGCCAAACAUAAUUUGAAAAUCUGCAUGAUGCUCUUGGAAGAUUCUUUUAGUCUUAAGAGAUAUGGAGUUGAGAAAAAGAUAACAUAAUAACUAGGAGUAGGGUACACAUCAUUAGAGAACAGAAAGACAAGGCUUUUCAGGCUCAAAAACAUUCUGAAAUUCUGGUGAUAUGUGAAAAUGACUUGCAAUGCUGCAAAAUUACAUGACCAUGGAUGUACUUUUUAUUUGUUACAGUCUAGAAUUUGUGCUUUUAUCUGUAAUUCAAAUAUUAAUGGCAGUUAGUUGGUUAACAUUUAUUGAACUCUAGAUCUUCAAUUAUGAGAGGAUCAAUAGAAGUCUUUUGCUCUUCUUUACCAGCUUCUGUUGGUCAGCGAUGUUUAUGUGAUUGAGUAAGGUUUUGAUGGCUUUGGUGUCAAUUCCUUUUGACCAUUUAUUUGGCCUUUGAUGGAUCAGUAUAGUGAAUUUUCAAUAACAAUGGAGAAUUGGAUUUUCAUUUUCUUAAACAUAGCACUCUAAUUUAUGAUACUUCUUCCAAACAGUGAAUGACUUAAUGAAUUCUUCUAAAACACGCUUUG
rnacentral:lncRNA from 1 species